GGUUCGAUGGUGUAGUUGGUUAUCACGUCUGUCUCACAUGGGUUUCGAACCUAGUGUGCACACAGGAGGUCUCCGGUUCGAGCCCGGGUCGAACCA